rnacentral:rRNA from 1 species
CAGUACCACGGUAAUACGAAGGGGGCUAGCGUUGUUCGGAAUUACUGGGCGUAAAGCGCACGUAGGCGGAUAUUUAAGUCAGGGGUGAAAUCCCAGAGCUCAACUCUGGAACUGCCUUUGAUACUGGGUAUCUUGAGUAUGGAAGAGGUAAGUGGAAUUCCGAGUGUAGAGGUGAAAUUCGUAGAUAUUCGGAGGAACACCAGUGGCGAAGGCGGCUUACUGGUCCAUUACUGACGCUGAGGUGCGAAAGCGUGGGGAGCAAACAGGAUUAGAUACCCCAGUAGUCCCUGUCUCUUAUACA